UUAGAGUUUGAUCCUGGCUCAGGAUGAACGCUGGCGGCGUGCCUAAUACAUGCAAGUCGAACGCACAGCGAAAGGUGCUUGCACCUUUCAAGUGAGUGGCGAACGGGUGAGUAACACGUGGAUAACCUACCUCAAGGUUGGGGAUAACAUUUGGAAACAGAUGCUAAUACCGAAUAAAACUUCGUAUCGCAUGAUACAAGGUUAAAAGGCGCUACGGCGUCACCUAGAGAUGGAUCCGCGGUGCAUUAGUUAGUUGGUGGGGUAAAGGCCUACCAAGACAAUGAUGCAUAGCCGAGUUGAGAGACUGAUCGGCCACAUUGGGACUGAGACACGGCCCAAACUCCUACGGGAGGCUGCAGUAGGGAAUCUUCCACAAUGGGCGAAAGCCUGAUGGAGCAACGCCGCGUGUGUGAUGAAGGCUUUCGGGUCGUAAAGCACUGUUGUAUGGGAAGAACAGCUAGAGUAGGGAAUGACUUUAGUUUGACGGUACCAUACCAGAAAGGGACGGCUAAAUACGUGCCAGCAGCCGCGGUAAUACGUAUGUCCCGAGCGUUAUCCGGAUUUAUUGGGCGUAAAGCGAGCGCAGACGGUUGAUUAAGUCUGAUGUGAAAGCCCGGAGCUCAACUCCGGAAAGGCAUUGGAAACUGGUCAACUUGAGUGCAGUAGAGGUAAGUGGAACUCCAUGUGUAGCGGUGGAAUGCGUAGAUAUAUGGAAGAACACCAGCGGCGAAGGCGGCUUACUGGACUGUAACUGACSKUGAGGCUCGAAAGUGUGGGUAGCAAACAGGAUUAGAUACCCUGGUAGUCCACACCGUAAACGAUGAACACUAGGUGUUAGGAGGUUUCCGCCUCUUAGUGCCGAAGCUAACGCAUUA
rnacentral:rRNA from 1 species